CUGAGCCACAGUUGCAGCCUGCACCACAGCUCCAGCAAUGCAGCCACAAGGGAAGUUUCUGCAUUUGCUUUUAUGUGCACAGAAUACCUCUGAGAGGAUCUUCUAGAAACUGUUAACAGCAGUUGCCUCCUGGGAAGAGAAAUGGUUCUGGUAGAGAGACAUACUUUUCACUGUUUCACCCUUUUGCACUUAAAACUUUAAAAGGCGGGGAGAACGACUAUCUUUCAAAGCAGCUGCUCGGUUCCUGCUGGUUUCUAUUCAACCUGAGGUCGGCUGAAAGCCCUUAGCCUUUUCACAUGCACCACUGUCAAGUCAAACUACUUUCACCCAGUGCUAGUGCAGGUGAUUUUUAAAAAUAUUUAUAAAUGCAGGUCUUUCCACUUCUUUUAAAUCCAUCCUGUUGGUUUCAGCCCACUGUUUCAAGAUACUUAAAAUCUUGCUUCUGACGUCCAAAUAUUAGCUUUUCCUCCCAAUAGGGGUGCCUUCUGCACUGUGGGUGUGGCAGACACGAAAACCACUGAGCUGACCAAACGCAGAGUCCAGAAGCAUUAAUGGUAAGACCUGUCCCCAGAUUUACAUCAACUCAAUCACCAACUUGGGUGGAGGAGUACAUUGGUUAAAUGGGCUAGAAAUCCACCUGAAAGGGCAACCCUGAGGUCACUGUUUCAUUGUGAGCCUGGCCAGGGAGGCAUUCAAUAUCUAACUGGAAGUGACCAAGGAAAUUUUCCUAGUGGACUUUCAAAUAAAUAACAGCAAAUGAGAUUAUUGUUGGUAUUAUUAUUUACUGUAUCUUGUUCUUGGUGGAUGUACCGAUUCUUUUCCUAGGUAUUCUCAAACCCACAGUGUAAUAUAUUCCAAAACAAAUUUUGGAAUUCACCUGAAACGUACCCACUUAGAAUUUCCAGAAUCUACCUUUUCCUCUUUUCUGAUACUAGGACACUUGCAGCCAUCAGGCACUGGGGCCCCCUUCCUUUCCUCCAUGGCUUUCUCAGUUACACUGGCAAGGGUUCCAGGAUCUUCUCUGCAAAGGUUUUUGAAUACCUUGGGAUUUGUAACUCAUUUAAAAUGGCUGGGUGCUUAGGUGUGCUUAUUAUCUUCCAUUUGGAGUUGCAAUUUCCUUGAAACUAUUUUGCUUGACUCAUUCCAGCUUAGAAAUGCUUUCCUUUGGGGGAGAGUAAAGAAAACCGAGGUUGAGUAUUCUGCUUUCCAGUUGCUAACGUGACACCUUCAACUCCAAGUGGAACUCUAGCCUCUAAUAAUUCCUCUUGCUCUAAAAGUAACAAAUGAUGUCUCUUAUUGUCAGCACUUUUUCCUAGUCUCAACUUCAAGAUGAAUCUCAAGUCCUUACAAGGACUUCCAUCUUCCUUUUUCUUUUUUGCUUUUUAGGGCCACACCUGAGGCAUAUGGAGGUUCCCAGGCUAGGGGUCCAAUCGGAGCUACAGCGGCCAGCCUACACCAGGGCCACAGCAAUGCCAGAUCCAAGCCGCGUCUGCAACUUAUAUCACAGCUCACAGCAACACCAGAUCCCUAACCCACUGAGUGAGGCCAGGGAUCAAACCUGCAACCUCAUGGGUUCCUAGUCGGAUUCAUUUCUCCGCUGCACCACAACAGGAACUCCCCAUCUUCCUUUUACUUACUUUUUUUUUCUUUUUAGGGGUGCAUCACGAAUAUGGAAGUUUGCAAGCUUGGGGUUGAAUCGGAGCUGCAGCAGCCAGCCUACAGCACAGCCACAGCAACACCAGACCCGAGCUGAGUAUGCAACCUACACCACACCUCAUGGCAACACUGGAUCCUCAACCCACUGAGUGAGGCCAGGGAUCAAACCUAAGUCCUCAUGGAUACUAAUUGUGUUUGUUACUGCUGAGCGACAAUGGGAACUCCUCCCUCCUUUUCUUAUACAAUUUUUUUUUUUGGGGGGGGGACUUCCUAUGAAUGGGCUGUCCUCAUUUUCUGAUGCCAGAGCCUCCCCCCUUUCUUAUGCCACACUCCCAUGUAAAUCUCUAAAUGUGAGAUAGUAACUUUUCUCUAAUUCCUUCAAAGUAUGUUUCUAGGACUGUUUAUUUACUUGCUCACUCACUCAUUCCAUGGCCAGCAUGCCCUUCUCUCUCGAUUCAACUUCCUCCUGUGGUUCCUGUACCACCGUCAGCACCAAGUAAUUCUUUUCCAUGAUCAGAAUUAAGGUUGAAGUUGCAGCUCCCGGGUAGAUGUGUCUUCCCACUGAGAGGGACUGGUUGCUGAUGCAUGUGGAGAGUUGCUCGCCUGCUCAGCUGGUGGCUAUGCAGGGUUAUGGUUGCCAGGGCAGGGGAGUGGUCCCCCAGCCUGUGGUCAUCCUGCCCUCAGAGCAUCACUGGGCAGGCAGAAGGGGACUCUCGCCAGGACAUGGCUUCCAGGCGCUCACCUGUCAGUCUCACCCAAAGGCUUCUUCCAGGCCAGCAGUGCGCUGUAGCGGAAAGCGUGCACGAUUCAGAUUCAAGAAUAUCUGGGUCUGAAAUCCAGCUCUGCUCCUUCCUAGCAAGUUGUCAAAUCUCUGAGCUUCUGUUUUUCUCACUUGAAAAAUGGAAAAACUGGAGUUCCUGCUGGGGUGCUAUGGUUAAGGAACUAACGUCUCUGCAGCAGUGCGGGUUUGAUCCCCUGCCAGGUGCAGUGGGUUAAGGAUCCAGCGUUGCUGCAGUUGGCCCAGGGACUUUCUUAUGCCAUGGGUACCGCAGGAAAAAAAAUGGGGAUAUUAUAUGGUUGAUGGGGUGACUGAUAAACACCCCCACACACACACAGCCCCAUCAACCCCCAUGCUCAUCUCAGGUUCAAGAAUUUUCACAGGUUAUAUUCUUGGUGGA
rnacentral:lncRNA from 1 species